GACGUAGGGCGCGAGCGUUGUCCGGAUUUAUUGGGCGUAAGGAGCUCGUAGGCGGCUUGUCGCGUCGGCUGUGAAAACCCGCGGCUCAACUGUGGGCGGGCAGCUGAUACGGGCAGGCUGGAGUUCGGUAGGGGAGACUGGAAUUCCUGGUGUAGCGGUGAAAUGCGCAGAUAUCAGGAGGAACACCGGUGGCGAAGGCGGGUCUCUGGGCCGAUACUGACGCUGAGGAGCGAGAGCGUGGGGAGCGAACAGG
rnacentral:rRNA from 1 species